rnacentral:rRNA from 1 species
UACAGAGGUCCCAAGCGUUGUUCGGAUUCACUGGGCGUAAAGGGUGCGUAGGUGGUUGGGUAAGUCUGAUGUGAAAUCUCCGGGCUCAACUCGGAAAUGGCAUUGGAUACUAUCCAGCUUGAGGAGUGGAGGGGGGACUGGAAUACUUGGUGGUAGCAGUGAAAUGCGUAGAUAUCAAGUGGAACACCAGUGGCGAAGGCGAGUCCCUGGACACUUCCUGACACUGAGGCACGAAAGCUAGGGGAGCAAACAGG